rnacentral:lncRNA from 1 species
UACUUUUACAAAACCUAGGCAUUUUGCCCAGAAGGCAAUAGAAAUGGAUUGGCUUGCUAGCAUGCUGACCAAGUAAAUAGAAAUUUGAACUAACAUUUUUUCCCCCCCAGACAACCACAGAUGUAAUUCAGAAGUUUAGUGUCUUGAUCCGUGGGUGCAGAGAGGGUCAAGAUUCUAUGUAGGUGAAUCUGGGUGAACAACCCACCUACCUCCUACUUCAUAAUUCAAAUAUUUUUACAUUAUGGAGAUAUAUACCUAAUAUAAGUAUACCUAUAUACUUAAACCUAAGUAAAGACCUGAGGAAAACGACGCUGUAGGAUUUUUGAACUGUGUACAUGGGUGAAGUUUUAAGAGCCCCAAAGCCCUCAGCCCUGGGUGUACCGUUGCAGGAUAUGAUUGCUAUAGAUUCUACAUAGACCUCUGUGCCGAAAACUGUUAAAUGGAGAACUAGGAACAUGUGGUCCUUUGUGCUUCAGUUGCCUAUUCUGUCAUGCCAUUUACAGAAAAAUAAAACUGGGAGUGCUGAAACACUCCCAUAAUUCUCGCUUUUGGGAGCCAGAGUCAGGAGCAUCGGGAGUUCAAGACUGCUCUCCUCCAUAUAGGGACCUCAGGUCAAUCUGAGCUACAUAAGACCCUGCCUGACUCCAAAACUCUCAAACAAACAAAAGACAAACAGGUAAGAGCGAGUUUCUGAAGGAGCUCGGUGUAGUUUUUCUGUGAUGUUCACUGACUUUUAAAACAGCAGAUUCUGGGGUUGGAGAGAGUACUGGCUGCUCUUCCAGGGGAAGGGGUGGGUUUCAAUUCCCAGCACUCAUGGGGCAGCUUACAACUGUCUAUCACUCUUGUCCCAAGGGAUCCAAUGCCCUCUUCUGGCUUCUAUGGGCCCUGCAUACACAGGAUGCACGAAAACACCUAUAGCAUAAAAAUAAAAAUGUAAAAAGAAAGCAAAUUAUUUAUCUAAAUGCCC